rnacentral:lncRNA from 1 species
UCUGUAUCCCCCAAAAUUCUGGAAGCUGUUUGAAUAAGCCUAUCUACAAAUUCAGCAUAAGGUUCAUUAGUUCUCUGUAUUACCUUAGAUAGCUGACCUUGUAAAUCUCCAUGUCCUUGUAAAGUCUUCCAUGCCCUAACUGCAUCUGCAGCAAUUUGUGCAUAUAUAGCAGGAUCAUAUUCAAUUUGUUGAUGUUGACCCUCAUAAGGUCCUUUUCCUAACAACAUAUCUAGAUUUCUUUGAGGGUAACCGGCUGCUCCAUUUUGCCUAGCUGUCUCCGUGCAAAAUUCCUCAUUGGCAACCUUCCAUAACAAAUAUUGUCCUCCAUUUAGUACAGAUUUACAUAUGCUAGCCCAAUCUGCUGGCAUCAUGUCCAAGUUAGUAAUGGACUCGACCAUGCUUAUUGUGAAGGGUGCUUGGGGACCAUAGGUUGUUACAGCCUCCUUUAACUGCUUCACUGUUUUAAAAUCUAAAGCACGGUGAAUUCGCUGACCUCCUACCUGUUCAAGUACAGGGCAUGCUAAUCUUUGAGGUCCUGUCUCAGGAUCCCAUUUAUCAACUACGGGGUUUGAGGGCCACUCAGCUGUCUCCAUAGGUGGGGCUGUUGGUUGAAUUACACCCUCUGGUGAUAAAACGGAGUUAGUAACAGCCUCCUGUUGUAGCCUUUUUCCUAAUAACCCCUUUUCCUUUAAAUUUUCUUCCUCUGUCUGACUAGCUCGAGAGACCUUCUCUUUUGCUUGUUCUAAAAUGUCUUUCUCUGUCGCGACCCCUUGCCCACAAGGAAGACGCAACUCAGGAAUCUUCUUUCAGCAGUUUAUUCAGGCCCUUGAUAUUUCUUCUUCUCCCUCUCAGAUGCCCCUCCCAGCCUUAAUAAAGCAUCUCAAGCCCCAAUGCGAAGCUGCCACGUGGAGCUUUCUCAUAGGGUGGUGAAAAACCAUGCGCCAACUCUCCCAAAUAAGGAGUUGUUUGUCACAGACCACAGCAGAGCCAGCGCCAUCUUGUAAUGGUGACCAUAGUCUGCAGAAACGGCAGAAGCGGCUCACCACAUUUCUCCAUGGUCUGAAUCUCUAACAAUUUACCUAACACCUUUUUGGUUUGUUUUUUAUGAAUUUCUAAUCUACUAUAAAGAUAACGCAACCCAAUAAGAUAACACAAAACAAAACCAAAACUGAAUGAAACAAAAACGGAAUAAAAAAUCGUUGUAUCAAUUUUCUCUUCCUCAGGGCCGACAAACUUCAAACCUUUAGCUAACCAUUUUUCCCAGGUUGCCUGGGAAAUUUCUAGGGAUAGGCAGCUUGAAACAAAAACAAAAUAAAUCAAAAUAAGAACACAUUGUUUUUUGAAAUGGUCACCCAUUCUCUCACCUUCCCUCAGGGGCGAGCAAUUUCACUUACCUUUACGUUUCAGACGUUCCACGUACAGGCCACCAAAUGCUGCAGUCUGUCUGGGCACAAAAUCACGAGCCACUCACAGCCUUGUAGAUUCAAACAGCAAUUCUUUAUUCCCCAACUCAUACUGGCACUCUACAAACACGUUCUGGGGAAAUUCACAUUCUGUGCAAAAUCCACACACUCCACCGGGCUCUGAAUCCCAAAUACUCUCUGAAUCCCGUGAGAACUCAAUGGGAACUCAAGGAGCAGGUGUGCCUGAGGCAGCAGGAUAUGCCCUAUUCCCAGCAGGGUACGCCUUAAACCUGGAACCGCCCUAAACCCAAGGAGGGGGAUACUCCCUAAUCCCAGCAGGAUACACCCUAAACUUGGAUCCGCCCUGGUCCUUGAGCAAGGUCACCUUACAUGCAAUGUCACUGCAAAUGACCUGGGUCAUGCCAUGCGUCAUACCUACUUGGCAAUGGCUCUCAGCAUACACUAAAGAUACAUUCACAGAAAUGUCUAUGGCAGCAGAAAUCACAAGAGCCAACUUAUGGAGCAGGUAUUCAUCAAUAGAUGAAGGGAUAAAGACAAUGCUAUACUUAUACACAACAGAGUUGUAUUCACCAUAAAGAAGAAUAAAAUUUUGUCAUUUGCCAAAAAAAAUAGAUAGAAUGUGAGAUCAUUAUGUUAAGUGAAAUAAUCCAGACUCAUAAAUUCAAGGUCAUAUGUUUUCUCUCAUAUGUGGAAGCUGGAUAGAAAAAAGGAAAAAAGGAGAAUCUCAUGAAAAUUGAAUAAGACUGUCAGAGUAAAGAAAAUUAUAAGUGGGAGGAAAUGUAAUGGGGGUGUUACUUGGAAAUGAAAUUAACCAAAUUAUGUUAUGUGCAUGUAGGAAUAAGCCACAAUGAAACCCACUAUUCUGUAUGAUUUCUAUUUGCACCAAUAAAAUUUUGAAAUUAAAAAGUUAUUCCCCGUGUGUGCUCUCAAGCUGAUGAUUUUAGCUUGCUACUUGAGCACUUUGAGCAUAUAGGCACUUUUCCUCUCAGUAGACAAAACUCCUCCCAAACACAUUAUAUUUUCUUUUAGUCAUCUGGUAGGAGGAAUAUAGUAAUAAAUCAUGGCAGGGAAAUUAUGUA